rnacentral:rRNA from 1 species
CACUCCUGCGGGAGGCAGCAGUGGGGAAUUUUGGACAAUGGGCGAAAGCCUGAUCCAGCAAUGCCGCGUGAGUGAAGAAGGCCUUCGGGUUGUAAAGCUCUUUUGUCAGGGAAGAAACGGUGAGAGCUAAUAUCUUUUGCUAAUGACGGUACCUGAAGAAUAAGCACCGGCUAACUACGUGCCAGCAGCCGCGGUAAUACGUAGGGUGCAAGCGUUAAUCGGAAUUACUGGGCGUAAAGCGUGCGCAGGCGGUUUUGUAAGUCUGAUGUGAAAUCCCCGGGCUCAACCUGGGAAUUGCAUUGGAGACUGCAAGGCUAGAAUCUGGCAGAGGGGGGUAGAAUUCCACGUGUAGCAGUGAAAUGCGUAGAUAUGUGGAGGAACACCGAUGGCGAAGGCAGCCCCCUGGGUCAAGAUUGACGCUCAUGCACGAAAGCGUGGGGAGCAAACAGGAUUAGAAACCCGUGUAGUCCC